GAUGAAGAACGUAGUGAAAUGCGAUAAGUAGUGUGAAUUGCAGAAUUCAGUGAAUCAUCGAAUCUUUGAACGCACAUUGCGCCCCUUGGUAUUCCGGGGGGCAUGCCUGUUCGAGCGUCAUUUCACCACUCAAGCCUCGCUUGGUAUUGGGCAACGCGGUCCGCCGCGUGCCUCAAAUCGACCGGCUGGGUCUUCUGUCCCCUAAGCGUUGUGGAAACUAUUCGCUAAAGGGUGUUCGGGAGGCUACGCCGUAAAACAACCCCAUUUCUAAGGUUGACCUCGGCUCAGGUAGGGAUACCCGCUGAACUUAAGCAUAUCAAUAAGCGGAGGA
rnacentral:misc_RNA from 1 species